CGAGGAAUCUUGCGCAAUGGGGGAAACCCUGACGCAGCAACGCCGCGUGAGUGAGGAAGGCCUUCGGGUCGUAAAGCUCUGUCAGAUGGGAAGAAAUGGGUGGGGGUGAAUAUCGUCCACCCUUGACGGUACCAUCAGAGGAAGCACCGGCUAACUCCGUGCCAGCAGCCGCGGUAAUACGGGGGGUGCAAGCGUUGUUCGGAAUCAUUGGGCGUAAAGCGCGCGCAGGCGGCUUGGUAAGUCAGAUGUGAAAGCCCUGGGCUUAAACCAGGAAGUGCAUUUGAUACUGCCUCGCUAGAGUACGGGAGAGGAAAGUGGAAUUCCUGGUGUAGAGGUGAAAUUCGUAGAUAUCAGGAGGAACACCGGUGGCGAAGGCGACUUUCUGGCCCGAUACUGACGCUCAGGCGCGAAAGCGUGGGGAGCAAACAG
rnacentral:rRNA from 1 species